UACGUAGGGGCCAAGCGUUGUCCGGAUUUAUUGGGCGUAAAGAGCUCGUAGGCGGUUCGGCAAGUCGAAUGUGAAAUCUCCACGCUCAACGUGGAGGGGUCAUUCGAUACUGCCGUGACUCGAGUCCGGUAGGGGAGUGUGGAAUUCCCGGUGUAGCGGUGAAAUGCGCAGAGAUCGGGAGGAACACCCGUAGCGAAGGCGGCACUCUGGGCCGGUACUGACGCUGAGACGCGAAAGCGUGGGGAGCGAACAGG
rnacentral:rRNA from 1 species